UCCCUAGUGGUCCAGUUGGUCAGACUCUGCACCCCUAAUGCAGGGGGCCCAGGUUCGAUCCCUGGGUCGGGAA